CGGAGGGACAUUACACAAAUAUGAAGGCGGGCUGGAACCUCUCGGGGUUACAGCCUUGCUGAAUUAUUCACCCUUGUCUUUUGCGUACUUCUUGUUUCCUUGGUGGGUUCGCCCACCACUAGGACAAACAUAAACCUUUUGUAAUUGCAAUCAGCGUCAGUAACAAAUUAAUAAUUACAACUUUCAACAACGGAUCUCUUGGUUCUGGCAUCGAUGAAGAACGCAGCGAAAUGCGAUAAGUAGUGUGAAUUGCAGAAUUCAGUGAAUCAUCGAAUCUUUGAACGCACAUUGCGCCCUUUGGUAUUCCAAAGGGCAUGCCUGUUCGAGCGUCAUUUGUACCCUCAAGCUUUGCUUGGUGUUGGGCGUCUUGUCUCUAGCUUUGCUGGAGACUCGCCUUAAAGUAAUUGGCAGCCGGCCUACUGGUUUCGGAGCGCAGCACAAGUCGCACUCUCUAUCAGCAAAGGUCUAGCAUCCAUUAAGCCUUUUUUUCAACUUUUGACCUCGGAUCAGGUAGGGAUACCCGCUGAACUUAAGCAUAUCAA
rnacentral:rRNA from 1 species